UUGUUGUUCAACACAUUGGAUGGCAACUUCAGCAAUCCUCCAAACGGACUCGAUCUUGACAUUCCCUACCAGGAAAGGGUCUAUGACACUAAUAAUAUCCCCCUUACGAAUCAAAGACCUUGCCUGCAAAACAACAGGGAGUGGACCUGUGAGGGAAUUACCAUCCAACCACCUAAGAAAAAGAAAGCGAUCAGAGCAGAAGAAAUCAAUUGUUCAAGUAGAGCAAGUUCAUUGAAAAGCAGAUUUGCACUUACAACUCUGUCAAGGCCUCCAUGUUGUUGAGCUCUAAUGGGAUUUCACCCUGCACAUUCUUUCUUGAUAGGCCACUGUACAACAUGUGAGAGAUUCCCUCCAUAAUUCAGCUCUUUAAAUAAGUCACAAUGUUUAUUCUUUAUAUGUAACUUAGCUUUGCUACAUAUAACCUUAACUCUUAUUUUCAUCUAUGAAAAUGGUUUACAUGGA